rnacentral:lncRNA from 1 species
GUUGAUGGAUGUGCUUGGCCAGAAGGGUCCUAGACGGGGUCAAUAGCUAGAAAGCUCCUUUGGGAGAGCAAGCUUCGAGAUUCACUCGGCUAUAUAUCUGCAGGACCUACUCGUGAUCUUGACUUAGGAAUGAAUUCUCCAAGUGCACCCUCUUCCUUCCUUGCCUGGCUUCUUAGCCUAUCCUGCUCCUACAGCUGCUAGGGGUUACAUGAGUAAGGGGUUCAGCCCUUCUUUACGUUUACGUGCCUAUAUCACGAGUUUACAGCAUGUUGUCGUUUAUGGAUGGCUUCUUCGUUCACAAUCAAAUGUCGAUGGCAGAGGAGGAUAGAGAAAGGACAUCAUGAAUAACUACAUAGGGCACAUUCUUCUACCGGGUCAUGGCCUUUUGACUUCAAAAUGCCGGAGCAAGAUAACAAAGGGAGCUGAACCUUUUAUUCCACCAACUUAUGCACAAAGAAGU